rnacentral:misc_RNA from 1 species
UUUUAGUUUGUUCAGAUGAAUUAGGUGGCCUGCAAACCCCAUGACUAAUGAAGUACUCAGUAGCUCUUUUUUGAACAAAAUUCUAUAUAUUCUUCGCCGAUCGUGAUUUUGUUUAUUCAUGACAGUUAGAAAAUUCUAUUUUUCCACUUAAUUGAGUGUUCAAUUUGAAGAAGAAGUGGAGGAGGAUCCGAUAUGGAGGUGAAGGGAAUUGAUGGGAAAUUAGAAAAGAGUGAUUCCACUUCUGCUGAUGAAAUUUCACAUUUGUCUAUCGACAUUGGAGGCUCCCUCAUCAAGAUUGUAUACUUUUCAACCAACAGUAAGUGCAGCACAAAUGAUGAGGCACCAACGUUAUCAAAAGAAAGACAGGAAGUUCCCAAUGGAGACCUUAACCAUCACAUUCUCAGUGGCAGGCUUUAUUUCAUUAAAUUCGAGACUAGCAAGAUUGAGGACUGCAUAAAGUUUUUGUCUUCCAAGAAACUUCAAAAAUGCGGUGCUCAAUGUCAUCAUUCUCACGCUGUUGACAAGAUCAAGAUUAAGGCAACAGGUGGUGGAGCUUUCAAGUUUGCCGAUCUAUUCAAAGAAAAACUUGGCCUAACUCUGGACAAGGUAGAGGAAAUGGAGUCUCUUGUUACCGGAGCAAAUUUUCUGCUUAAGGCUGCCAAUCAUGAAGUUUAUACAUAUAUUGGAGGUCAAAAGGAGUAUGUGCAGAUAGAUCAGAAUGAUUUAUAUCCCUACCUCCUUGUCAACAUUGGGUCUGGGGUUAGCAUGAUAAAGGUAGAUGGAGAUGGGAAAUUUCAGAGAGUUAGUGGAACUAGCGUCGGUGGUGGCACUUUCUUGGGACUAGGGAAACUUUUGACUAAAUGCCAAAGUUUUGAUGAGUUGCUGGAACUGAGCCAUCUGGGAAAUAACAGAGUGAUAGACAUGCUCGUUGGAGAUAUUUACGGGGGAUUGGACUAUUCAAAGAUUGGCCUUGCAUCAACAGCCAUAGCGUCUAGCUUCGGUAAGGCGAUCUCAGAAAACAAAGAGCUCGAAGACUACAAACCAGAAGACAUUGCCCGGUCCCUCUUAAGGAUGAUCUCAAAUAACAUCGGACAGAUUGCAUACUUGAAUGCUCUUCGUUUUGGGCUCAAGCGGAUCUUUUUGGGAGGAUUCUUCAUCCGCGACCAUGCUUAUACAAUGGACACAAUCUCCGUUGCAGUUGAUUUCUGGUCGAAGGGUGAGGCCAAAGCAAUGUUCUUGCGGCAUGAGGGAUUUCUUGGAGCCCUAGGAGCUUUCAUGAACUACAAAGAUGGAAGUACAGAUUCCAUGCCCCCUCAGUUAGUUGAGCAACAAGCCGCCAAGAGGAGUUCAAGUUGCAUAGUCGAUAGGAUUCAUAACUCUACGCAUGUGCAGGAAAAUGAAAAUGGCGCCACAGACUGUAGAUUGCGAGUUAGUAGCUCAUUUAAAAUUUAUGAUGAGGUCAAAAGGUGUUGACCUAUGAAACAACUAGCAUAUGUACAAAAAUUAACGAGGAUGUCAAAAGAAUCUGUUGUUUCUAUUCCUAGUUAAGUAAGCAACAAAAUUUCAGAUUUAUAUGUAUAUGUAUUUGUCCUGCAAUAGAUUUGUAGAACCUUGACAUGUGAUGAAGUGAG